rnacentral:rRNA from 1 species
AACUGAGGAUAAUCACGGAUAGGCAAUUUUUCCUGUAAUGGUUUUUUGUUUAAAUGUUUUUUCGCCUAAGGAUGGGUCUGCGGCCGAUUAGGUAGUUGGUUAGGUAAUGGCUUACCAAGCCGUUGAUCGGUACGGGUUGUGAGAGCAAGAGCCCGGAGAUGGAACCUGAGACAAGGUUCCAGGCCCUACGGGGUGCAGCAGGCACGAAACCUCCGCAAUGUGAGAAAUCGCGACGGGGGGAUCCCAAGUGCCAUUCUUAACGGGAUGGCUUUUCAUUAGUGUAAAGAGCUUUUGGAAUAAGAGCUGGGCAAGACCGGUGCCAGCCGCCGCGGUAACACCGGCAGCUCUAGUGGUAGCAGUUUUUAUUGGGCCUAAAGCGUCCGUAGCCGGUUUAAUAAGUCUCUGGUGAAAUCCUGUAGCUUAACUGUGGGAAUUGCUGGAGAUACUAUUAGGCUUGAGAUCGGGAGAGGUUAGAGGUACUCCCAGGGUAGAGGUGAAAUUCUGUAAUCCUGNGAGGACCGCCUGUUGCGA